rnacentral:rRNA from 1 species
CACGGGGGGAGCAAGCGUUGUUCGGAAUCACUGGGCGUAAAGGGCGUGUAGGCGGUCAGGUAAGUGGAAUGUGAAAUUCCAUGGCUUACCCAUGGAACUGCAUCCCAAACUGCCUGGCUUGAGUAUGGGAGAGGAUGAGGGAAUUCCUGGUGUAGCGGUGAAAUGCGUAGAUAUCAGGAGGAACACCGGUGGCGAAGGCGCUCAUCUGGCCCAAUACUGACGCUGAGGCGCGAAAGCUAGGGGAGCAAACGGG